CAAAAGUGGUGUAAAAUGUGGUAUUUAAAAAAAAUAAAGGAAAUGCCAAAAACACUGGUUUGGAAAUUUUAAAUAGGCGUGUAAAAGAUUCAGAGACACCUUCCAAUAAUAAUGUUAAGAAAUUUAGUAUAUCUAUUAUAAGUUGAAUAAUCGUAAAAAACUAUCAAAAGUACCAAAGCAAAACCCGAUAUACCGGAGAGAGUCUUCGAGAACUGAUUGAGAGUUUAUUUCGCAAGCGGAAAUUACAAAUAUCACGGAAUUGCCAGAUUUUCGCACUAUAACUAGUAGUAGUACUGAGUAAGCCUGCGUGUGCACUAUCAAGAUCAAAGGAGGCAAAGAUACUGCGCCCCAAGCCGCUGACGCCGCUUACCUCUCACAGAGCAGGUAACUUCACUCACUUCAAAGUAACCAAUAUGGAAUAAUGCCUCGACUCACGCACUACUUCUCAGCGACAUUGACCCAACCUAACUCUGUAUUGCAACUCUUGAACCAAUAAUUGUUGAUCAAGAGUCUGAAGUCGCCCGUAUUAGGGUUUAAAAAGUAAAGGAAAGUGGCUGCAAAAGUGCUCAUUAAGUGCCCAUAUCAUCAAAAAGGGAUGAGAAAAAGAUCCUAGGACUUAAGAGGCUCACAGUUUCAUGAGAAUUUAUGGGUUAUCCGUUAUACUUAUAAUACUAGCGUUUAAGAGUUACCACUUGAACUUGAUUGUUUUAUGACCAGUGGGAACCUUCUCGAG